rnacentral:tRNA from 1 species
GGGGGUAUGGCGGAAUUGGUAGACGCGCUAGACUCAAAAUCUUGUGGGCUCAGCCCGUGUCAGUUCGAGUCUGACUACCCCUACCA